rnacentral:misc_RNA from 1 species
GAAAUGCGAUAAGUAAUGUGAAUUGCAGAAUUCAGUGAAUCAUCGAAUCUUUGAACGCACAUUGCGCCCCUUGGUAUUCCGAGGGGCAUGCCUGUUCGAGCGUCAUUUCAACCCUCAAGCUCUGCUUGGUAUUGGGCUACGCCAUCGCGGCAGGCCUUAAAAUUAGUGGCGGUGCCGUCUCGGCUCUAAGCGUAGUAACAAUCUCUCGCUCUGGAGACCUGGCGGUGCUUGCCAGACAACCACCAAUUUUUUUAUGGUUGACCUCGGAUCAGGUAGGGAUACCCGCUGAACUUAA